UCGUCUCGAGAAUGACGCAGCUUUGCAGCAGCCUGGCCUCGUGCUGGUCGGGAACAACAGCCGCGGAAGAACACGAUCGCUGCCAAGAGCACCACUCGUUGUCCCAGGACAAUGAUCACCUGCAGCAACAAGUUACUCGCUACGAAUCGCAGGAGAGCACGCGAAGUUGUCUCACCUGUGAUCGAAGCGGAAGGCUGGAGGGGAUUUGUAUCAGCUGCAUCAUGCGGGUGCUGGGACCUCGAGCGCAGGAAUCCAGCGGCGGGAGUGGUGGGUUGUUCUUGCAGGAGAUCAUGAUGG
rnacentral:lncRNA from 1 species